rnacentral:rRNA from 1 species
CACAUGCAAGUCGAGCGGAAACGAGUUAUCUGAACUUUCGGGGGACGAUAACGGCGUCGAGCGGCGGACGGGUGAGUAAUGCCUAGGAAAUUGCCCUGAUGUGGGGGAUAACCAUUGGAAACGAUGGCUAAUACCGCAUAAUGCCUACGGGCCAAAGAGGGGGACCUUCGGGCCUCUCGCGUCAGGAUAUGCCUAGGUGGGAUUAGCUAGUUGGUGAGGUAAUGGCUCACCAAGGCGACGAUCCCUAGCUGGUCUGAGAGGAUGAUCAGCCACACUGGAACUGAGACACGGUCCAGACUCCUACGGGAGGCAGCAGUGGGGAAUAUUGCACAAUGGGCGCAAGCCUGAUGCAGCCAUGCCGCGUGUGUGAAGAAGGCCUUCGGGUUGUAAAGCACUUUCAGUCGUGAGGAAGGUGGUGUAGUUAAUAGCUGCAUUAUUUGACGUUAGCGACAGAAGAAGCACCGGCUAACUCCGUGCCAGCAGCCGCGGUAAUACGGAGGGUGCGAGCGUUAAUCGGAAUUACUGGGCGUAAAGCGCAUGCAGGUGGUUUGUUAAGUCAGAUGUGAAAGCCCGGGGCUCAACCUCGGAAUAGCAUUUGAAACUGGCAGACUAGAGUACUGUAGAGGGGGGUAGAAUUUCAGGUGUAGCGGUGAAAUGCGUAGAGAUCUGAAGGAAUACCGGUGGCGAAGGCGGCCCCCUGGACAGAUACUGACACUCAGAUGCGAAAGCGUGGGGAGCAAACAGGAUUAGAUACCCUGGUAGUCCACGCCGUAAACGAUGUCUACUUGGAGGUUGUGGCCUUGAGCCGUGGCUUUCGGAGCUAACGCGUUAAGUAGACCGCCUGGGGAGUACGGUCGCAAGAUUAAAACUCAAAUGAAUUGACGGGGGCCCGCACAAGCGGUGGAGCAUGUGGUUUAAUUCGAUGCAACGCGAAGAACCUUACCUACUCUUGACAUCCAGAGAACUUUCCAGAGAUGGAUUGGUGCCUUCGGGAACUCUGAGACAGGUGCUGCAUGGCUGUCGUCAGCUCGUGUUGUGAAAUGUUGGGUUAAGUCCCGCAACGAGCGCAACCCUUAUCCUUGUUUGCCAGCGAGUAAUGUCGGGAACUCCAGGGAGACUGCCGGUGAUAAACCGGAGGAAGGUGGGGACGACGUCAAGUCAUCAUGGCCCUUACGAGUAGGGCUACACACGUGCUACAAUGGCGCAUACAGAGGGCAGCAAGCUAGCGAUAGUGAGCGAAUCCCAAAAAGUGCGUCGUAGUCCGGAUUGGAGUCUGCAACUCGACUCCAUGAAGUCGGAAUCGCUAGUAAUCGUGGAUCAGAAUGCCACGGUGAAUACGUUCCCGGGCCUUGUACACACCGCCCGUCACACCAUGGGAGUGGGCUGCA